CCAUAAACAUAAGGUAACAACCGAGACCUAAUGGUGCUGUGACAGCAACGCCAUUGAGUUUGAGACAGUGAAAAUACAUAUGGUAUGUUGUAUCUGAACAGGUUAGCGUAUGAGCUAAAGUUACUUAGCACAGAUGAAAGUUCAAACAAAGACGUUUAGCAAACUGUUAAAGCACACAAACCAUCGUCAUAUGAGAAAUCCGACGCUAUGACUCUCCACAAGUUGUCCUUCAGGUCGUUAUCUUUGUAAUGUUUGUGUUUUUUAUCAAAAAGCACUCUGUUCUCCGACAG